GGUUCAACUUGGAGGAAAUUUUAAUACAAACAAAACUCACAAAUAUUUAGGUAUAUACAUGUUCAAAUAUUCAUAUUCAAGAUGUGGAGCUCAAAUAAUAACCAAUUUGGAGAGAAACAAUACUGUGAAAUAAAUGUUGGAGAAAAAAUUCUGAAAACAUUUAGGCUAAAUUCAUAUGUGACACACUGAGACAUAUAUUAUCACAAUUUAUUCAACUAUGAAAAAUCAGCUGCUUUUCUCUUGUUAUCAAUAGGAACCACCCUGAGAUUUUUAAGGGCAUCGAUGGUGAAAUUAGUGUCACGCUGCCUUUGUGAGUGACGUUGCAGACUGAUUUUCAUUAUAAGCCAGUAUCUAUGUGAUGAAAGGCAUUUGUUGUUUUAUCUUUUAAACAAACAGCAAACAAAGAAUACCACAGCACCUAACUUUUCACGACUGAAAAUGAAAUGGAUCUAAUAUGUUCAAAGGAAUUCCACAAAACGAAAACCAUUGACAUGACAAAAGCGUGCAUUUAAUUCAAUGCUUUGC
rnacentral:lncRNA from 1 species